rnacentral:piRNA from 1 species
UUUCUGUGGUUGCUGGGGGUCUAACUCAGG